rnacentral:rRNA from 1 species
CCUACGGGAGGCAGCAGUGAGGAAUAUUGGUCAAUGGGCGCGAGCCUGAACCAGCCAAGUCGCGUGAGGGAUGAAGGUUCUAUGGAUCGUAAACCUCUUUUAUAAGGGAAUAAAGUGUGGGACGUGUCCUAUUUUGUAUGUACCUUAUGAAUAAGGAUCGGCUAACUCCGGGCCAGCAGCCGCGGUAAUACGGAGGAUCCGAGCGUUAUCCGGAUUUAUUGGGUUUAAAGGGUGCGUAGGCGGCCUGUUAAGUCAGAGGGGAAAGUCUGUGGCUCAACCAUAGAAUUGCCGUUGAAACUGGGAGGCUUGAGUAUGUUUGAGGCAGGCGGAAUGCGUGGUGUAGCGGUGAAAUGCUUAGAUAUCACGAAGAACACCGAUGGCGAAGGCAGCCUGCCAAGCCAUGACUGACGCUGAUGCACGAAAGCGUGGGGAUCAAACAGGAUUAGAUACCCCAGUAGUC